AUAUCUUUGAAAAGAAAAUUAAAAUUACGAGUAGUUUUGUGUAUUAGCAGUAUGAAAAUAAAUUCCAAUUUAGUUAUUUUGUCAUAACAAACUUUCGAAUGUUAGAUCAAACGAAAAUAAAAAACACUUUUCAGGUAUCCUAUAUAAUAAGCACGGAAGACAAAGUGACAAAAAAUUAGGUACUGAUAUUGCAAAUUUUCCAGAAAUUAAUUUUAUUUCAAUUAUUACCAAGGCCAGUCUAAUUGAACAUGUCGAGCGUUAAAACUAUAACACAAUCCAUAUUCCGUGAAUGUUGGCUCAAAACCAAUACAGCAAUUGUAUGGUUCGCCUUUGAACACGCAGCCAUAUAGUAAAUCUUCACAGUGUAAUGACCGUGUCAAUACCUCAAUAUAUUAUCUUUGCAAUCUGACACGAAG